ACGAAAACAACUUUUUCUUUCAAAAGUGAAACUUCAAUUUUUCUCUGAUACUGUACGCAUAUAUUCCUCGAAACCUGUCACUACGGGGAGCCACACAAUUAAGAAUUCGAUGUGUACGUAACACUUUCUUUCCUACAUAUAAAAAUAUUCUAUGACAAAACCAAUUUGUGAUUAUAAAUUCGCGCGCGAAAUAUCGAUCCUCGUUUAAUAUUUCACGAGUUGUCGUUUGUCAGAAAACAUUUAUAAUGACAACAUUCGUUCCUGUAAAAGUAUCAGUCAAGCAGUGAUAUUCUAGCAAAAGUAUCAGUUAGGUAUCGAUAUUUUAAAGUAAGUAUUGAAGAGAUAUCGAUACGAUUCAGUAUUGGAUUGAAAUUGGUCAAUUGGUAUCGAUAGAUAUCGAUGCGAUAUUAAUAUUAUCCGAUAUUAUCCGAUAUAUCCGUUAUUUCACGGACACACCACGCGCUGCGUUGCCUGUCCUAUUUUUUCGCGUAACUGUUUUUCGCGAACACGUUGGUGUUGAUUGCACUUAAUUCUGAGCCCUGGACAUAAAAUCAUGUGUUCUUCGUAUGGUGCAAUAAAAGCGAUACAAUGGUUCGAAAAAGGUAAACGAACAUCACACGUUGCUAUGAAGAUGAAUACCUACGUUCGCAUUUUUGGGGUUCUCUCCUGUCAGGGAAUAGGCGACAACCGACAUAUUAAUAUUUUACAUAUACGGCCAUUAGAAAAUAUAAAUGAGUUGACAAAUCAUUUUCUCGAGGUUAUUUAUUAUAUAAAUAAUAUUAGGUAAAAACGAGGUAUAUUUAUUAUAUAAAUAUAAUAUUAUGUAAAGCAAAUGAGAAAGUAGAUAAUGGGCCAAAUCGUCGUGAUGUCGAAAUGAAAGAAAAGUAAUUUGAUUUUGAAAAUAA